GGAUUUAUUGGGCGUAAAGGGAGCGUAGGCGGAUUUUUAAGUCUGUUGUUAAAUCUACCGGCUCAACUGGUAGCUGCGGCAGAAACUGGUACUCUUGAGUGAAGUAGAGGCAGGCGGAAUUCCGUGUGUAGCGGUGAAAUGCGUAGAUAUACGGAGGAACACCAGUGGCGAAGGCGGCCUGCUGGGCUUUAACUGACGCUGAGGCUCGAAAGUGUGGGGAGCAAACAGGAUUAGAUACCCUGGUAGUCCACACCGUAAACGAUGAUUACUAGGUGUGGGGGGUCUGACCCCUUCCGUGCCGGAGUUAACACAAUAAGUAAGCCACCUGGGGAGUACGAUCGCAAGAUUGAAACUCAAAGGAAUUGACGGGGGCCCGCACAAGCGGUGGAUUAUGUGGUUUAAUUCGAUGAUACGCGAGGAACCUUACCAAGACUUAAAUGGGAAAUGACAGGCUUAGAAAUAGGCCCUUCUUCGGACAUUUUUCAAGGUGCUGCAUGGUUGUCGUCAGCUCGUGCCGUGAGGUGUUAGGUUAAGUCCUGCAACGAGCGCAACCCCUGUCACUAGUUGCUAACAUUAAGUUGAGGACUCUAGUGAGACUGCCUACGCAAGUAGAGAGGAAGGUGGGGAUGACGUCAAAUCAUCACGGCCCUUACGUCUUGGGCCACACACGUAAUACAAUGGCCGGUACAGAGGGCAGCUACACAGCGAUGUGAUGCAAAUCUCGAAAGCCGGUCUCAGUUCGGAUUGGAGUCUGCAACUCGACUCUAUGAAGCUGGAAUCGCUAGUAAUCGCGC
rnacentral:rRNA from 1 species